UGGAAAAAAAAAUGCAUCCGGAAUCGAACCUGGGCCGCCCGCGUGGCAGGCGAGCAUUCUACCUGUUAAAACUAUUUUACC